rnacentral:rRNA from 1 species
AGUGAACGCUGGCGGCGUGCCUAAUACAUGCAAGUCGAACGGUAGCAGCGUGUAGCAAUACACGGCUGACGAGUGGCGCACGGGUGAGUAAUGCAUAGGUCAUGUGCCCCAUAGUCUGGGAUAGCCACUGGAAACGGUGAUUAGUACCGGAUAUUCCCGAGAGGGGAAAGUUUUUCGCUAUGGGAUCAGCCUAUGCCCUAUCAGCUAGUUGGUGAGGUAAUGGCUCACCAAGGCUAUGACGGGUAUCCGGCCUGAGAGGGUGAACGGACACACUGGAACUGAGACACGGUCCAGACCCCUACGGGAGGCAGCAGUAGGGAAUAUUGCUCAAUGGGGGAAACCCUGAAGCAGCAACGCCGCGUGGAGGAUGAAGGUUUUCGGAUUGUAAACUCCUUUUCUAAGAGAAGAUUAUGACGGUAUCUUAGGAAUAAGCACCGGCUAACUCCGUGCCAGCCGCCGCGGUAA